rnacentral:rRNA from 1 species
CGUAAAGCGCACUGCAGGCGGCCUGUUAAGUCAGAUGUGAAAGCCCGGGGCGUUAACCUCGGAAUUGGUCAUUUGAAACUGGCAGGCUAGAGUCUUGUAGAGGGGGGUAGGAAUUUCAGGUGUAGCGGUGAAAUAGCGUAGAGAUCUGAAGGAAUACCAGUGGCGAAGGCGGCCCCCUCGGACAAAGACUGACGCUCAGAUGCGAAAGCGUGGGGAGCAAACAGGAUUAGAUACCCCUGGUAG